AAUACACCUACACCUGUACAUUACAAGGUAAGUCUCCCCAUAGAUAAGAACCACUGAGGUCCCAGGUAAGGAGAAAUACGCCUACACCUGUACAUUACAGGUAAGUCUCCCCAUAGAUAAGAACCACUGAGGUCCCAGGUAAGGAGAAAUACACCUACACUUGUACAUUACAGGUAAGUCUCCCCAUAGAUAAGAACCACUGAGGUCCCAGGUAAGGAGAAAUACACCUACACUUGUACGUUACAAGGCAAUUUAAGUCUCCCCAUAGAUAAGAACCACUGAGGUCCCAGGUAAAGAGAAACACACCUACACUUGUACGUUACAAGGUAAUUUAAGUUUCCCCAUAGAUUAAUCAGUCUAAAUUCCAGGUUAGGAGAAACACCCCUUCAUUAUCAAAAUUCUACAUUUAUUUUUAAGGCCAGCUUUCCCAUAGAUAAGUCCCACUAAGGCUGAUUAAAUCAAAACCAAAUACAUGUAUUAUAAAAGAAAUGUUUAAUCCAAUCCUCUAAUAUAGUUACAUGUAAUGUCAUCAUCCAUAAAUAAGAAUAUGUCGUUAACAUCAUCUCAUAACCAAUACUGUAUUUGACUUAAUAAGAGCACUCUGUACUUACAAAAAUACAAGCAGGGUGUGUUGUAUAGAACCAUUUUAGGUUACUGGUUAGGACAAAUUUUCAUGUGAAAUAGAUUUGAAAUUAACCGAUUACGAAGGUCAGUAUCCUUUUUAAAGGUUUUAAUUCAGCACACCUUCCCCUUUCAAGAGAAAAUAUCAAAGAAACUAGUCAAGGAAAUGUCUGUCAGACAGGAAUGUAUAUACUCCUUGCAUCCUGUGCAGAAGGGGUCAGAGGCCAUGACCUUAAUAACUCUUUAACCUUGACCAAUGGCCUCCAGAAUGUAAUCAGGUGUAUAACAUGAUAUUAUGAUAAUGGUAAAACAGUUCUGUUGAUGGGUUCACAAAAUAUGUCAUUGAUAUGGAAGGGGAUAGGACGUAACAGGACUUGUAGGAGUGUGUUCAUAGGGGUAAGUGUGCUUAUUAGGUUAAAUUCAAUAUUAAACAUUAAACCAAUAACAAUCAAUUUUAAACAUAACAUUGUGAUCUUCUCAAUUAAUAUGCAGAUAAUUGAAUCAGUUAAUUUAAAAUACUUUCGUAUCACAAGGAAUAUCAUUUUACAGUUUAAUACAUAAUUCUAAUUAUAAUAAUUCUCAUGAUAUUUGUUUCACACAUUCUAGCAAAACAAGGCUCAAAGGGCCUGUAUCACUCACUAUGAUAUUUAAUAACGUAUAAUUAAUAAAUUCUGGUAUAUAUUUCAGUCUGCAUAUAGCCUGUGUAUAUAUUUAU